UACGGAGGGUGCAAGCGUUAAUCGGAAUUACUGGGCGUAAAGCGUGCGCAGGCGGCUUUGCAAGACAGAUGUGAAAUCCCCGGGCUUAACCUGGGAACUGCAUUUGUGACUGCAUGGCUGGAGUGCGGCAGAGGGGGAUGGAAUUCCGCGUGUAGCAGUGAAAUGCGUAGAUAUGCGGAGGAACACCGAUGGCGAAGGCAAUCCCCCUGGACCUGUACUGACGCUCAUGCACGAAAAGCGUGGGGGAGCAAACAGG
rnacentral:rRNA from 1 species